rnacentral:rRNA from 1 species
UGAGGAAUAUUGGGCAAUGCCCGCAAGGGUGACCCAGCAACGCCGCGUGGAGGAUGAAUGUCGUAAGAUUGUAAACUCCUGUUAGAGGGGAAGAAUAGUACCGGUUGGACCGGUAUAUGACUGUACCCUCAGAGGAAGCCCCGGCUAACUACGUGCCAGCAGCCGCGGUAAUACGUAGGGGGCAAGCGUUGUCCGGAUUUACUGGGUGUAAAGGGCGCGCAGGCGGAAUGGAAAGUCAGUGGUGAAAUCCUACAGCUUAACUGUAGAACUGCCUUUGAUACUUUCAAUCUUGAGUUCGGGAGAGAGAGACGGAAUUCCAGGUGUAGUGGUGAAAUACGUAGAUAUCUGGAAGAACACCAGUUGCGAAGGCGGUCUCUUGGUCCGAUACUGACGCUGAGGCGCGAAAGCGUGGG